rnacentral:rRNA from 1 species
GAUGAACGCUGGCGGCAUGCCUAAUACAUGCAAGUCGAACGAGAGGAAGGAAAGCUUGCUUUUCUGAAUCUAGUGGCGAACGGGUGAGUAACACGUAGGUAACCUGCCCAUGUGCCCGGGAUAACUUCUGGAAACGGAUGCUAAAACCGGAUAGGUAGCAGACAAGCAUUUGACUGCUAUUAAAGUGGCUAAGGCCAUGAACAUGGAUGGACCUGCGGUGCAUUAGCUAGUUGGUGAGGUAACGGCCCACCAAGGCGACGAUGCAUAGCCGGCCUGAGAGGGCGGACGGCCACAUUGGGACGAAGACGCGGCCCAAACUCCUACGGGAGGCAGCAGUAGGGAAUUUUCGUCAAUGGGGGGAACCCUGAACGAGCAAUGCCGCGUGAGUGAGGAAGGUCUUCGGAUCGUAAAGCUCUGUUGUAAGAGAAAAACGACAUUCAUAGGGAAUGAUGAGUGAGUGAUGGUAUCUUACCAGAGAGUCACGGCUAACUACGUGCCAGCCGCCGCGGUAA